UACGGAGGAUGCAAGUGUUAUCCGGAAUCACUGGGCGUAAAGCGUCUGUAGGUGGUUUAAUAAGUCAACUGUUAAAUCUUGAGGCUCAACUUCAAAAUCGCAGUCGAAACUGUUAGACUAGAGUAUAGUAGGGGUAAAGGGAAUUUCCAGUGGAGCGGUGAAAUGCAUAGAUAUUGCACAGAACACCGAUCGCGAAGGCAGCUCACUAACCGUAUAUUGACGCUGAUGGACGAAAGCGUGGGGAGCGAACGGG
rnacentral:rRNA from 1 species